CUGUGUAUGUUUAUCUUAUUGACUGUUAAAUAAAAUACUGUUUGGCCAAUGAGACAGCAAGUUAGAUGGGACUAGGAGUCAAAGAGGAUUCUGGGAAAUGUAGUAGAGAAGUGGUGAUCCAGGCAGGAAGUGACGUAGCAAGGAGACUCAUAUUUAAAGAAUGAGAAACAGGAAGCGUCCCUCUCUUUUCCCCUCCUUUCCUGCUCCAGAGGCCCAAUGUGAUCCAUCGGCAAGGAGGGACGCCAAUAAGGCUUCUGUCCCUCCAGAGAGUCUCCAACUCUUGUGUUGAUGAAGCUCCUUCUGCUGUGGUUUGAAGUUCAUGUCCCUUGAAGUUUAACUCCCAACUCAAGAGUGUUGGUGCCAAGUCUUUUAGGAGGUUAUUGGGAUGUGUGGGUGUUGUCCUUCUGAAAGACCAAAGGGGGAAUGUGUAGCCUUCCAUCCAAUUCUCUCCUGCCUGCCUUCCACUGUGUGAAGACAAGGUGAGAGGCUCCGUUUUGGAAACAGGAAUGUGGCCCUCACCAGGUAAUGUAUCUGCCAGCACUUUGAACUUGACUUCUCAGCCUUCAGACUGGUGAGGAAUAGACAUCUGUGGUUUGUCCUGAUCCAUUUGCAUUUUGUUAGAGCAGAAGGCAUGCAUUGAGAGACUUUCCUUCCUGCGGUCUGCCUGGGUGCCUGACACAGGUCAAGACAGAGCUCCCCGAUGAACUAUUUGUCAAGGAAAGCGGAUCCUUGUCCCACCAGAAGCACCGUACUUUGACUUCUUUAAGGUUCUCAUGCACUCAGAGAAAACUUGACACAACUUAGUCAAUGACUAGACUGGGAGUAAGUGUCAGCAUUGUUUACAAAACUGUAGUUCAAGCCUUCAUUCUUGGCAACCACUAAUUGUGGGCAUCCCAACUCUCCCAUUCUGGAGUGAGGUGACAUCAAGAAUGCGUAUGUAACAAAUAUGUGCCUUGGGCACUGUGACAAAACUGGGGACUCUCUGGCCAGUGUGGCCAGACCAUUGCUUCCUGACUGAGUAGCAGAGUGGACAGGGGCGUGAACACUCUGGCUUCUGGGUCAUACGCUCUGGAAAACAUUUUCGUUUGGUGCUCACAGUGGUGUUGAAUCUGUGCUGGGUGCCUUUACAGCAAGAGUGCUCUCUUGUCCCUAGCCCCAUUAUCUUUUUUCCUUAGAGAGGUGGACUCUGCUCACUUGACACCCUUGCUAGUGAAAACCAUAUGUAUGCUUAGUGGCUUGAUGUCCUUUUUUUUACAAGCUUGUGUCUGUCCAGGGACUAUCAGUCUCAAUUUUUUUCAGCAUGUCUGCACUUGUACAGACCCUGACACAAGUGGGAUGAUAAGAAAUGUCCUCUGGAUUUGGGGUUCUAUGCCCACAGAGGUAAAUAUCUUCCUCUGAGACUAAAAAUUCGGAUAUUUAUUCCCACUUCCACCCCUGGG
rnacentral:lncRNA from 1 species